CCUCUAUGUGUAAAGAAAAGAAUGGUCCUUGCUUGUCAGCAUGGCAAAGCUCGACAGAAAAAAGAAAAGGAGAAACGUUCAGCAGAGCAUGUAUACACAAAAAAACGUUUUCAUGUCCAAAAUGGGAAGAAGUUGGACUGCCCAGCUAAACUUUUCAUUCGGCAUGUGCUGAGAUAUGACUCAUUCAGUGUGAGAGGGGAUGCCACAAAAUCCCAUAAAGAAGACACUAUGAGAAAUCUUAAGAUAGCACUUCAAAACUCAGA